AAUAAACAUCAAUCAAGUAGAUAGUAGAACUGCUUCAGGAACCGCUGGAAACUGGAUAAGAAAAUAUAAAUAUCGCACUAGAAAGUAACCCAUAAAUCCAGUAUCAACAGUGAAUCUCUGCUCGGUCAGGCGGUGACAAUGCGUGCCUAAGACUAAAGAGCUCUGCACGGAAAUGCGCACUGGCGAGGAUUUCUCGAACUGCUGCGAGCUAAGCUCGUCUCUGAGGAGGCCUUGGCAUCCACUGCAUCCAGUGAGCU